rnacentral:snRNA from 1 species
AGAGGCAAGAGACCUAAUGU